CUUAACUUGUGUUCUCAGCAACAAAGUGUUGUACUAUAGGCUUUGUUUGUUUAAUGUGAUAUUGGUUGUUUCUUUUCUUUGAAGGUUUGUACAUUCAUGUUCACUUCUUCACCUUAAGUCUGCACUCUCCACCCUCAAACAAGCCCUGAUUUCCGAAAGAAAGAUUUCAUUCUUGAGACGCACCUUUGCAAACUUUUAGCCACGUAGUCUGAUCCAUCUGUUUUGUAUAAGCAAGAGAGAUAGAGAGGCUAAGAGAGAGAAAGUGUAUUCGGGGUAGAUAGAGAGAGAGAGAGGCAUGGGGCGGAGGUACGCGGCGGUGUUUAGGGUUCCGCCAACGACCGGCCUUCUUCAAAAUUUUGAGACAGGUUGAACAGAUUCUGAGAUAGAGAGAGUGAGUGGCGUCGGGAUAUAAAGAGAAGGAUCAUGAUGAGAGAGAGAGAUCGGGAUCUUUUCCUCCCACCGAUUCACCAUAAAAUCCGGCCACCUACUGGGCUUAUUACGGUUCUCAGGCGCAUGGAUCAAUCAUCUGUUAUCCAAGUUAACCUUCAACUGUCUUGGGCUUCUUCUGGUAAACAAGAUGUUGAAGAUUACAACGGUUGGGUCUUUGGGGAAGAAAGUGUUGGCUCCAAAAGGCAGACAAAAGGGUUGCCAACAUUUGUUUUGUUUGAUAUUGGGAGUUCAGUUGUGGCUUUACUUAUGUGUUUGCUCAUUUAGCAUUGUCAAAAAAGGGUAAAUUAUUUUUAUUUAUGGUAUUUUGUUAAUUCUCUAACUGUUGGAACUGGAGGGUUGUGUUGUGUAGUUAUGAAAAUGGGAUUUGUAUAGAAUUUUGUUUCAGGUUUUGUUUUUCAGUUUCAUGUUUUGAUUGAUAAGAAAUCGUUGGGUUCGGAAUGGAUUAAAAGUGGACGAAUGUUUUGAUGAGCUAAUGAUGGAAAAUGUUGAUGAGAAAGUUGAUGUGAUUGCAAAAGAAGUGAACGGUCGUGCUAAUUGGAAAUUUAAUUUAGUUGCAUAUCACACAUGAUGGUUUUCGUUGACAUGAAGAAAUGGUCUCGACCAUGUAGAUCUGGGGUAUUGUAUUGCGGCUGUGAUAGAUCUAGGAUGACAAGAUGACGCGUCGAGGUGUCUAGGGUUCUGAUCAGCCUCGACUAUUGGUCAGAUGAGCAUUUGACGUCCCACUGAUGAAGGUAGCUGUUUCAUUGGCGCCACAGAAGCGGUCGCUAUGAACACGCCACGUGUUGCCGGUGCCGCCACCAGAAGGAAGACCAUGGAACUCAAUCAUUGCUGGUGCCGCCACCGGCGGGUUUUGAUGUGGUUCCAACCAGUAAUCGAUUGGCCAAAGAAAAUAGACGGAAACCAGAUUAGAAUUAUAGAAAGAUAAUCAGACUAAUUUCAUAAUUUCAUUCAUACCCCAAAAUGAAAACGUACAGAAAUAUAAAUAGAUAAGUUGCAUGCUACAAUUCCUAAAAAGAUGGGCCCACUACUAACAAACUCUUAACUAAUUUUGGUCAGUAACAAUUACUACUU